GUUGGUGGAGCAAGAGAUAUCUGGGUUUCAUCAAAUCUGGUAGCUGGACCGAGGCAAGAGAUGUAGCUUGAGAUGUGAGCUCCUGUGCUUUCUCCUGGGCAGCCCAGCACAGAGCUACAAUGUCUGCCGCCUCCUUCGCAGGUACUGAAUAGAAUUUGUCAAGAGGAAAACAAGAAAAUUUUGUGAGAAACAGAACAAAGGAAAUUACAGAAGGUUUUGUAUUUUCUCAAGAAAUUAAUUGUCUACAGCUGGACUAUACAGAGCUUGUACACUGAUCACAUGUAGAGAAGGAAAGAUAAGCCACUGAACUGAGGGUUUACUAAAAACCCACACAUGGAAAAAUUCCCUACCAAGCAUCAUGUGGAAGUUAUAUGAAUGCUGCAUUGCACGCAACAUCUCAUAAGAAGCAAGUUUUAUCAAAUGAUUACUUGACUUUAUUCAAUUGGGGUUCUGCCAGUGCACGAAGAAACCACAAUCCAGCCUUUUCCCUUAAUUCCUAGUACUUUGAGGUCUACAAGAAGCCAAAUAAUGUGAACAAUGUCCUUGAAAAUACACUCUUUUUUUGUUCAGUCUCUGCCAGUAUACUUCAUUUUCAGCCAUUCUGGAAGUGCCUUAAUCUUUGGCUGCAAACUCACUUGGCCUGACAUUCGGCAAUGCAUUAUAGACCAGAUGGAUUUAGGGAACUGGACUGAUUGGAUUAAUUAUAUUAAAGGGAGAGGAAGAGGGAAAUAAAAGGAAAUUAUUUCUUCCUCUACUUCCUAAAAUAAAUAAAUAACUAGAACUAAUUCAUUUGAAAGAGUUUCCAGGGUGUGUGUCUAUGUACUUAUACUGUAAAACACAGCCUUGUGGAUGCAGCCCAGCAGUGGCUGGGGAUCCAGCCACCGUCUGCAGGGCAGCACACCGUUUGUUGUCCAAAUUACACGCUGGUCUACUAGUAUUUUCCUGAGAGCUGUGAAAAUAACAGACAUAAAAAGCCUUACAGAAUAUAGGCAUCAAAAGAUACUACUGAAAAUGAAAAUAGGCAUAAAUUCAUCUCUGUGGUACGAACCUGACCAGAUUCUCGUGAUGCUGAAGCACAGAUGCUUUGGACACAUUUUGAUGUCCUAAGGCUAACUGUAAGUUGUUCAACUUUUGCCCCACUACAUCCCCUGACACUGGAUAAUGCAGUAGAGACAGACUGCUUCUUAUGGGUGAGGGAACACGUGAGGGGAAUGGGACUUUCUUUUCCCCUUGAAGAGGAGAGGCAUGUCUGGGGGACAGCCAGCACCCAGCAAGGAACGGAUUUACCCCCAUAAUCCUGUUCUCAUAGUAAGGUCUAUAUUCCACGUGCCUCAGCACUGGCAUAAUGAGCACACCCUAGUUCAGACCUACAAAUUUAGCUCCCUUUUUAUACAUCUGCUUUGUUUGUAAGAGCUCACACUGAACAGCUAUAACCAGUUCUGUUGGCUGAGAGGUCUAUACCUGAGUUACAGCAGGGCAGACUGACGGACGACCGGAUUCAUCCCAGAAACCUGGCUGGUGGUGGAUGUGGGUCAGUGACCUACAACCUCGUUACAGGGAGAGCUGACACACCAUGUGUAACCAGCACUCCGGAUAACUCCUGCACUUAGGAAGUUUAUCUUCACAGUAUCUGCAAUUAGUCUAAAGUAUCUACUUGUCUUCUUAAAAUAUCCAUAAGAAUUAAGAAUUUUUAGAGCAAACCUACUAAACAUGGUAUUUUUUUUUGGUAGGGGCUAGAUGCUCUGCCUCAGUGACGGUUGCAAUUCUACAUUUUCUCAAGGAUGUAGCGUGUGAAAAGUCAUUUCUAUAAGCUAUGUGUAUUUAUUCUUUCACUGCUGGAGAAGCAGCAGCAUAUGGAAAACUGCAGCCUGGCUGACUUAACAGGUCACAAAGACACAGAAUAAAGGCAUAUUUUCUGCCUUUGAAUAUUUUGCCCAAACCACUGGUUGCUAUUACCUUAAAAUACCAGCUCUGAAAUCAAAAGCUGUGCUUUGCAUUCAGAUAAGGAGAAACACUAGAUUUCCUUCAUCUGACUUCUAAAAUGUGCUACAUAUUUCAACAUUCAGCCUUUCAGACAAAUAAAAUAAGUAUAGCAUACCAUACUCUUGGAUAUUAACACCUCUUACUACUUACACAAUUCCUCUGCAACUAGACCUUCUGUAGGACCAUUGCCAUGUACACCUAUUCCUUUCCACACAGCAUUUAAUAAUCUGUGUAUUAAUAUAGAAGCUAAAGAAUAACUCUUAUAGCUGAAGUAAGCAAUGAUGUCUUUGUGUCAUGUUUUUUUAAGAACAAGAUGAAUCAUCGCACAAGCACAAAGGGGUGUCAGCAGUGUAAGAUGCCCUAACACAGACCCUGGAAACUCUUAAGUAAAUAUGCCACCUAGUGUUUAAUUGGGACAAUUUCAUUCAUAAAUCAUCUCAACCAAUUCCCCCCAAGCUUUUCCCUGCAAGUCUAGGUGGUAUAGAGUCUGGCAGAAGUAUCUGGAGAUGCCUCCUUCACCUUUGCCCUCUCCC